GAGUUUGAUCUUGGCUCAGAGCGAACGCUGGCGGCAGGCCUAACACAUGCAGGUCGAGCGGCCGUAGCAAUACGGCAGCGGCAGACGGGAGAGUAACACGUGGGAACGCGCCCUUCGGUUCGGAAUAACUCAGGGAAACUUGGGCUAAUACCGGAUACGCCCUUACGGGGAAAGAUUUAUUGCCGAAGGAACGGCCCGCGUCCGAUUAGCUUGUUGGUGAGGUAAUGGCUCACCAAGGCGACGAUCGGUAGCUGGUCUGAGAGGAUGACCAGCCUCACUGGGACUGAGACACGGCCCAGACUCCUACGGGAGGCAGCAGUGGGGAAUAUUGGACAAUGGGCGCAAGCCUGAUCCAGCCAUGCCGCGUGGGUGAUGAAGGCCCUAGGGUUGUAAAGCCCUUUCGGCGGGGAAGAUAAUGACGGUACCCGCAGAAGAAGCCCCGGCUAACUUCGUGCCAGCAGCCGCAGU
rnacentral:rRNA from 1 species